rnacentral:rRNA from 1 species
AGCGAACGCUGGCGGCAGGCUUAACACAUGCAAGUCGAGCGGGCGUAGCAAUACGUCAGCGGCAGACGGGUGAGUAACACGUGGGAACGUACCUUUUGGUUCGGAACAACUGAGGGAAACUUCAGCUAAUACCGGAUAAGCCCUAACGGGGAAAGAUUUAUCGCCGAAAGAUCGGCCCGCGUCUGAUUAGCUAGUUGGUGAGGUAAUGGCUCACCAAGGCGACGAUCAGUAGCUGGUUUGAGAGGAUGAUCAGCCACACUGGGACUGAGACACGGCCCAGACUCCUACGGGAGGCAGCAGUGGGGAAUAUUGGACAAUGGGGGCAACCCUGAUCCAGCCAUGCCGCGUGAGUGAUGAAGGCCCUAGGGUUGUAAAGCUCUUUUGUGCGGGAAGAUAAUGACGGUACCGCAAGAAUAAGCCCCGGCUAACUUCGUGCCAGCAGCCGCGGUAAUACGAAGGGGGCUAGCGUUGCUCGGAAUCACUGGGCGUAAAGGGUGCGUAGGCGGGUCUUUAAGUCAGGGGUGAAAUCCUGGAGCUCAACUCCAGAACUGCCUUUGAUACUGAGGAUCUUGAGUCCGGAAGAGGUGAGUGGAACUGCGAGUGUAGAGGUGAAAUUCGUAGAUAUUCGCAAGAACACCAGUGGCGAAGGCGGCUCACUGGUCCGGUACUGACGCUGAGGCACGAAAGCGUGGGGAG